AUUGAACGCUGGCGGCAGGCCUAACACAUGCAAGUCGAGCGCGAAAGGCUUUCGGGCUGAGUAGAGCGGCGGACGGGUGAGUAACGCGUAGGAAUCUACCUGGUAGUGGGGGACAACUUGGGGAAACUCAAGCUAAUACCGCAUACGCCCCAAGGGGGAAANCGGGGGACCUUCGGGCCUCGCGCUAUCAGAUGAGCCUGCGUAGGAUUAGCUAGUUGGUGAGGUAAAGGCUCACCAAGGCGACGAUCCUUAGCUGGUCUGAGAGGAUGAUCAGCCACACUGGGACUGAGACACGGCCCAGACUCCUACGGGAGGCAGCAGUGGGGAAUAUUGCGCAAUGGGGGCAACCCUGACGCAGCCAUGCCGCGUGUGU
rnacentral:rRNA from 1 species